UUCAUCUUCGCCGAAGCGAACUGUGCAAACAGAGCUCCUUAAAUAUUCAAAUUUAAUAAGGACUUCGGCUCGGAUGAGAUCUAAGGCAGCUCCGCAUCGAUUUAAACUGGAUUAAGUGGAGGAAAAAUUGAUAAGCUGCCGUAACCGAAGAAGUGCCUCUGAGAACAGGAUUAGUCUGGCAGAGGACCGGACUGUCCAAGACCAAACAAAGCGGCAGCUGUGUGAGACAAAGGAUCGCGAGUCCUUGCAACAAUGCGCUAUCCACUUAAGGUCCAAGCGAGGCGAAAGGAAACCCGUUAUGAGUCACACAAAUCUCAGACUACGCGGCGAGGGUUACCUUCCGCCGAUCUGCCCGUUUAUCUGCCGCUAUCUUCCGGGAGUAGCUGCCCAUCACCCCAUCCCCUCGAAACAGAUCCCUUCGGAACCCUUUUUCUCCAAGGCGUCGCGGUCAGUCGCGAAAACAAUCGGCGGCCGAAAAUGUUUAUUACGAGGAUAAGAGAUGAUGAUGAUGGUGAUAAAGAGGAGAUCAUUUAUACACUCGAAAAAAUACUUUGCAAUUGCAGGUCAUAUUUUAUUCUUUCUUAGCCCCCUAAAGUCAAUACUUCUCAUAAGAUAUAAGCUCUCAAAAAUAUCAAUGAUUUUAUACCAAUGCUCAAGAGCCCUCUAUAUAACUUUAUAAUUAAGCCAUAAUUAUUUCCGGAUCCAGUUACGCCCUAAUAUUCUCUUAAGAACACAUUUUUUUCAAGUGUAAAAGUACCAUCUCACUGCAGCAGCUUUCGAUCAAAGCAUCUGGAGCCAAGCUGCGCCGAACUGACCUAUGGUAGUAAGGAAGUAACCUUUCGGGAAAAUCUUGCACGAAAAUCGUGGGAAAUUUUCCCAAAAGCGCAUAUCGAAUGCAAUUAAACGUUCGCGAUGUCUCGCGGUGGUUACUUUGCAGCCCGAAACCCAAUACCCGUAAACCGAUUUCCAGGGGGUUGGUUAAUGCGCGCGGAAAACUUGCGCCUUUUCCCCGAAACUCUCAUUUUCACCCUCAAAAUAUAACGUGAAAGUGGAAAAUGAAAAUGGGGGGUAAAAGGAAUAAUUCCGCUUGUUGCGUGGUCAGCUUGUGAUUUACCUUUCCGGUGACAAAACGCGGAAGUAUUGUAAAUCGAGUUGUGAGCUGCUGGGCAGCUACAGGAAAGCAGUAAGAGGAGGGUGGUGCUCGACUUUAACGCCCAACUUCUGCUAACGACUUUGGUAGGCGGCGGUGGGUUCUGUGGACUAACGUGGGAAACUCGGACUUCAACCUCAACUGGUAGCUGGCAAUUGAAGGCAUUCGCGUAAUUAAAUGCAACGAAAUGUGGCAGCAGCAGUUUGAUUUCUCCCCAGAUAACCAAACUGAACCGAAGGUGGUGGAAUUUCACGUAAUCAUUUCCAUCUGUUGGUGGUCUUAAUGGCCAAAAUAAAUAAAUAUUGUACUUUGCUGUUUA